CCUCUGAAUCGAGGUGAGGAUACAUCGGAAUCUACCUUAUCGUGGGGGAUAACGUAGGGAAACUUACGCUAAUACCGCAUACGACCUACGGGUGAAAGCAGGGGACCUUAGGGCCUUGUGCGAUUGGAUGAGCCGAUGUCCGAUUAGCUAGUUGGUGAGGUAAAGGCUCACCAAGGCGACGAUCGGUAGCUGGUCUGAGAGGAUGAUCAGCCACACUGGAACUGAGACACGGUCCAGACUCCUACGGGAGGCAGCAGUGGGGAAUAUUGGACAAUGGGCGCAAGCCUGAUCCAGCUAUGCCGCGUGGGUGAAGAAUGCCUUCGGGUUGUAAAGCCCUUUUGUUGGGGAAGAAAAGCAAUUGGUUAAUACCUAGUUGUUAUGACGGUACCCAAAGAAUAAGCACCGGCUAACUUCGUGCCAGCAGCCGCGGUAAUACGAAGGGUGCAAGCGUUACUCGGAAUUACUGGGCGUAAAGGGUGCGUAGGUGGUUAUUUAAGUCUGUUGUGAAAGCCCUGGGCUUAACCUGGGAAUGGCAGUGGAUACUGGAUAGCUAGAGUGUGGUAGAGGGUAGCGGAAUUCCUGGUGUAGCAGUGAAAUGCGUAGAGAUCAGGAGGAACAUCCGUGGCGAAGGCGGCUACCUGGGCCAACACUGACACUGAGGCACGAAAGCGUGGGGAGAAACAGGAUUAGAUACCCUGGUAGUCCACGCCCUAAACGAUGCGAACUGGAUGUUGAGUGCAAAUG
rnacentral:misc_RNA from 1 species